rnacentral:rRNA from 1 species
UGCCAGCAGCCGCGGUAACACGGGGGGCGCAAGCGUUAUUCGGAUUUAUUAGGUUUAAAGGGUACGUAGGUGGAUUCUUAAGUCCGUGGUGAAAGCCCGCAGCUCAACUGCGGAACUGCCAUGGAUACUGGGAAUCUUGAAUUCAGUUGAGGUUGGCGGAAUUUAUGGUGUAGCGGUGAAAUGCAUAGAUACCAUAAAGAACACCUAUUGCGAAGGCAGCUAACUGGACUUGAAUUGACACUGAGGUACGAAAGCGUGGGGAGCGAACAGGAUUAGAUA